rnacentral:rRNA from 1 species
GACGAACGCUGGCGGCGUGCUUAACACAUGCAAGUCGAACGGAGAUCCUUGGAACAAGCUUCGGCAAGGGAAUUGGAUCUUAGUGGCGAACGGGUGAGUAACGCGUGAGCAACCUGCCUUUCAGAGGGGGACAACAGUUGGAAACGACUGCUAAUACCGCAUAACACAGGAUGGGGGCAUCCCCGACCUGUCAAAGAUCUAUCGCUGAAAGAUGGGCUCGCGUCUGAUUAGAUAGUUGGUGAGGUAACGGCUCACCAAGUCGACGAUCAGUAGCCGGACUGAGAGGUUGGACGGCCACAUUGGGACUGAGAUACGGCCCAG